rnacentral:rRNA from 1 species
UAACCAUCGAGUCUUUGAACGCCAGUUGCGCCCGAAGCCACUAGGCCGAGGGCACGCCUGCCUGGGUGUCACGCAUCGCGUCGCCCCCUCCCCGCGCCCAAACGCGCGGCGGUGGUGGAAAGUGGUCCCCCGUGCGCGGUGUCGCGCGGUCGGCCCAAAUGUGAUCCCCGGCGACGCACGUCACGACAAGUGGUGGUUGAACCCUCAACGCGCUUUGUCGUGCACCACCGUGUCGGGACGCAUGAUCAGACCCAAUGGCACGUGCGAGCACGUCGCCUUCGACCGCGACCCCAGGUCAGGCGGGAUCACCCGCUGAGUUUAAGCAUAUCAAUAAGCGGAGGAAAAGAA